rnacentral:rRNA from 1 species
UUUUAAUGAGAGUUUGAUCCUGGCUCAGGACGAACGCUGGCGGCGUGCCUAAUACAUGCAAGUAGAACGCUGAGGUUUGGUGUUUACACUAGACUGAUGAGUUGCGAACGGGUGAGUAACGCGUAGGUAACCUGCCUCAUAGCGGGGGAUAACUAUUGGAAACGAUAGCUAAUACCGCAUAAGAGUAAUUAACACAUGUUGGUUAUUUAAAAGGAGCAAUUGCAUCACUGUGAGAUGGACCUGCGUUGUAUUAGCUAGUUGGUGAGGUAAAGGCUCACCAAGGCGACGAUACAUAGCCGACCUGAGAGGGUGAUCGGCCACACUGGGACUGAGACACGGCCCAGACUCCUACGGGAGGCAGCAGUAGGGAAUCUUCGGCAAUGGACGGAAGUCUGACCGAGCAACGCCGCGUGAGUGAAGAAGGUUUUCGGAUCGUAAAGCUCUGUUGUUAGAGAAGAACGUUGGUAGGAGUGGAAAAUCUACCAAGUGACGGUAACUAACCAGAAAGGGACGGCUAACUACGUGCCAGCAGCCGCGGUAAUACGUAGGUCCCGAGCGUUGUCCGGAUUUAUUGGGCGUAAAGCGAGCGCAGGCGGUUCUUUAAGUCUGAAGUUAAAGGCAGUGGCUUAACCAUUGUACGCUUUGGAAACUGGAGGACUUGAGUGCAGAAGGGGAGAGUGGAAUUCCAUGUGUAGCGGUGAAAUGCGUAGAUAUAUGGAGGAACACCGGUGGCGAAAGCGGCUCUCUGGUCUGUAACUGACGCUGAGGCUCGAAAGCGUGGGGAGCAAACAGGAUUAGAUACCCUGGUAGUCCACGCCGUAAACGAUGAGUGCUAGGUGUUAGGCCCUUUCCGGGGCUUAGUGCCGCAGCUAACGCAUUAAGCACUCCGCCUGGGGAGUACGACCGCAAGGUUGAAACUCAAAGGAAUUGACGGGGGCCCGCACAAGCGGUGGAGCAUGUGGUUUAAUUCG